CCAUGUGUAGUUGUAACUUCGUUCAUAUUCAAUUCCCUUAAAUUGAAUGCUCCUAAAUACUAAAUCCCUUUCAUAGGAGAUUCCCUGCAACUGGAACAUAAAAAUACCACUCAUACACGACAGCCUGCAGGGUCUGCAGGAGCCUCUUCAUUAUCACCAGCUUACAGGGAUUGCUUCAACUUCCCACGCAAACUCUAUUUACAGGCUAGCCACUCCACAACAUUCACAUACAUCCCACACGUGAUCGCAGGAAAUUACUAAAUCUGUUGUUUCUGAUUGUUCAAAGCUCUCCCAAAAACACAGAAAACAGAAAUGCAGUUCAGACUGUAAAUAUUCUGUCCCAUAUCGCUCAACAACUGAAAAGUGAUCAAAACUGUCCAGCACAAUAAUACGAAUAGAUUCAUCCUUCGCAGCAACAUAAAGUUCUUCAUAUGUCUUUUGAACUACCAAACACAAUUCAAACUGUAAAAACAUCUUCUGUUAAAUAACUUAUCUUACAUUUAUUCUAAAAUACGAUGUUAUGUCUUCCA